UACAGAGGGGGCAAGCGUUGUUCGGAAUUACUGGGCGUAAAGGGCGCGUAGGUGGCCUUCUAAGUUGAACGUGAAAUCCCUGGGCUCAACCCAGGAACUGCGUCCAAGACUGGGAGGCUUGAAUCCGGGAGAGGGAUGCGGAAUUCCAGGUGUAGCGGUGAAAUGCGUGGAUAUCUGGAGGAACACCGGUGGCGAAGGCGGCAUCCUGGACCGGUAUUGACACUGAGGCGCGAAAGCCAGGGGAGCAAACGGG
rnacentral:rRNA from 1 species